rnacentral:rRNA from 1 species
GACGAACGCUGGCGGCGUGCCUAAUACAUGCAAGUAGGACGCACAGUUUAUACCGUAGCUUGCUACACCAUAGACUGUGAGUUGCGAACGGGUGAGUAACGCGUAGGUAACCUGCCUAUUAGAGGGGGAUAACUAUUGGAAACGAUAGCUAAUACCGCAUAACAGUAUGUAACACAUGUUAGAUGCUUGAAAGAUGCAAUUGCAUCGCUAGUAGAUGGACCUGCGUUGUAUUAGCUAGUAGGUAGGGUAAAGGCCUACCUAGGCAACGAUACAUAGCCGACCUGAGAGGGUGAUCGGCCACACUGGGACUGAGACACGGCCCAGACUCCUACGGGAGGCAGCAGUAGGGAAUCUUCGGCAAUGGGGGGAACCCUGACCGAGCAACGCCGCGUGAGUGAAGAAGGUUUUCGGAUCGUAAAGCUCUGUUGUUAAGGAAGAACGAGUGUGAGAAUGGAAAGUUCAUGCUGUGACGGUACUUAACCAGAAAGGGACGGCUAACUACGUGCCAGCCGCCGCAGUAA